rnacentral:lncRNA from 1 species
AGGAAACGUGGGAAGAUCCUGCUAGCUUUCAUAGCAGCACUGUAAGGUUUAUGAAACACACUCUUCGGCCAAAUGAACCCAUGCGGAUUUUCCUCUCCGUCGCAGACCCCAGGCGAUUGGCUAAGAGUGACUUGAUGGCCUGUUUUGCACUCCAGAGCAAUUUGGAGAAGAGCAAUCUUGAUUCCUGGCCCCAGUAAAGAGUGAACUUCUUUGCCUCUCUGGUAAGUAAUGUCCCCCUUUCCUUUGCUGUCCUGAAGCUGAAAAACUAAAGUCAGGAGAAAAUUGUCAAUUGGCUCAGAAUGACAUACUCUAGCUAGAGAGCUCAAAGGCCCCUUCCAAUGCAAGCAAUACACUUUUUCAGACUUGGCCCCCUUAUUCUUUCCAAAGUCACAGAGAUUCAUUCUCGAUAAACAAAC